GUCCUUUCCAAGCGCUUCAUACAGUGCUCUGCACACAAUAAGCGCUCAAUAGAUGCGAUUGAAUUAACGAUCGACUGAGAAGUCAGCGGCGAGAAUGAUGGCAUCGGACCCAGGACCCCGGACCCCCAGCUUACCGAACAGCUCCAGCUUGAGACAGAACUCCUUGAACCAGCCUCCGGCCUCCACGGAGACCUCGUAGACGCCAGCGUCGCCCCAGGAGGCCUCGGUGAUCUCCAGCGAUGAGUUCUGGGGGAAGAAGGUGUAGCGGGCCUCCAGUUUUCCGACCAGGUUCUUCCUCUGCCCCGAAAACACCUUCUUCUUGUUCGGC